GACGAACGCUGGCGGCGUGCUUAACACAUGCAAGUCGAACGGAAAGGCCCUGCUUUUGUGGGGUGCUCGAUUGGCGAACGGGUGAGUAACACGUGUGUAACCUGCCCUUGUCUUUGGUAUAACUUCAGGAAACUGGGGCUAAUACCCGAUAGGAUCUCCUGCUGCAUGGUGGGGGUUGGAAAUUUUCGGCGGUUGGGGAUGGACUCGCGGCUUAUCAGCUUGUUGGUGGGGUAGUGGCUUACCAAGGCUUUGACGGGUAGCCGGCCUGUGAGGGUGACCGGCGACAUUGGGACUGAGAUACGGCCCAGACUCCUACGGGAGGCAGCAGUGGGGAAUAUUGCACAAUGGGCGGAAGCCUGAUGCAGCAACGCCGCGUGCGGGAUGACGGCCUUCGGGUUGUAAACCGCUUUCGCCUGUGACGAAGCGUGAGUGACGGUAAUGGGUAAAGAAGCACCGGCUAACUACGUG
rnacentral:rRNA from 1 species